AAAGUCGUCAGUGGCACUGAGAACUACCCUGAAGAGGAUACAGUCCGCACUCAUUACAACCCCUAUGUUGUUGCGACUGUUCAGUCCCAGACUACACCCCUCCCUGGCUACACUUGCAUCAGAGUUGGUGACAGUUUUAUGCUUCUGAAACGUUCUUGGACUGUUCUACAAAUCCUUGCCAGGUUUUGACUUAUUACACCAAAAUAAGAUUCUUGUUCAGAAGUUGUUUGCCAUUUCUUAAAGGCUGUUUUUAGGGGAAUGUACACUCCAAGCCCAUGCCCAUGCAUUGUCAUACUCAUAGCAC